rnacentral:rRNA from 1 species
GACGAACGCUGGCGGCGUGCUUAACACAUGCAAGUCGAACGGAAAGGCCCCUUUGGGGGUACUCGAGUGGAGAACGGGUGAGUAACACGUGAGUAACCUGCCCUUGACUUCGGGAUAACUUCAGGAAACUGGGGCUAAUACCGGAUAGGAAUCCUUGCUGCAUGGUGGGGGUUGGAAAGCUUCGGCGGUUUUGGAUGGACUCGCGGCUUAUCAGCUUGUUGGUGGGGUAGUGGCUUACCAAGGCUUUGACGGGUAGCCGGCCUGAGAGGGCGACCGGCCACAUUGGGACUGAGAUACGGCCCAGACUCCUACGGGAGGCAGCAGUGGGGAAUAUUGCACAAUGGGCGGAAGCCUGAUGCAGCAACGCCGCGUGCGGGAUGACGGCCUUCGGGUUGUAAACCGCUUUCAGCAGGGGCGAAGCUUGUGGUGACGGUACCUGCAGAAGAAGCACCGGCUAACUACGUG